AAAACUGUUCGAUUUGUUUGAAUGUUUUUGAUUUAGAAAAUUCUAAAACCGCUUUUAUUUACUGACAUUUGUUUCUUCUCUUUCCUUACCGUUCUAAUAUAUUGAAGAUCUUGCAAUUUUGAUUUCAGACAUUUUGAUUUACCCAGUUGUAGUUAAAAACUGAUAUCUUAGCCGUUACAAGAAUAUUUGUAAUUCCUAGUUUUGUUUUUUUUCUAGAUUUCACUAUAUAUAAUAUCAUUCAAGUAAACGGAACAGCAUUUUUCGAUUAAACUUUGAAUUUUGGCGAAUGCUUUCGGCUUAAAAUAGAGAAUUACGAAGUGUCCUUAGAUGGUGAAAAUGUAGUACCAAUUAUCCCGUCAGCGUUAUGACUAUAAAUACAUGUUUUUUAUUUCUGAUUGGAAGUACACAUUUCUCAAAUAAGGAUACGGGGGUGGAUCUUGUUCAGUGUAUAGUGUUUGUACUUUUUUCUAUACUUUGUAUUUUGAGCUACUUGUUUCUUCUAAGUUUACAUUUGCUUUUGUAUCUGCUAAUAAUCACUGAUCGAUUCUAUCAUUUAUUCUCAAUGUAAAUUCCUCAUCAAGGUUCCGUCCAUUUUUUUGGAAUAUAAAUUGGAAAGGUGGUACGAUAGGAUUUUGGCACAAGGAAAAAAUUUUGUUUCUCUGGGCAUGUUGCACUGCAUCAGCGAUGAUAAUUUGGGGAUAACCCCGUCUCUUCCUUGAGUUGUAGAUUCCAUUGAUCGCAAUAAAAAAGGUACAAAGCGAUACAAAGCCCGAAAUCUGUUCGUUGUUCUCUGCAAAAUACCGCUCGCCACCUUUUCAUAAAUUAAUGGUAGAAUGUAAUUUUUUUUUUAAGGAUUUUGUGCAGCUCGUGAGCUCGUAAAAAUGCGUGAUAAAAUGCACUUCGUACAUUUAACUUGCAAAUGAUAUAUUUGAAGUAUUUAGAUACAAAGCUUAAGAUAUUCCUGAUUACCUUUAUUGUAUAUCAUUAGUUGUUUGGCUACGAUUGAGGGGAUGAACUAUUAAGAUUCAGUUGUCUAAAUAUUUUUAACUCGAAAUAUGUAGAAGUAGAUUGUGCUGGAUGUCUCGGAGUGAUCAGUCAUGUUAGUAAGAUUCGGUUGUUUUAUUAUUUUAGACUUGAAUGUGUAUAUUGAAUCCUUAAUGAUUUCUUUUGAACUAUCCGCGAAAAUAUAAUAAUAAUAAAAUUAGGAAAAGAAAGUGCUUAAGUAAAAAGUGAUUGGAGAGGAAACGAAAGAUGCUUAUUGAUCAUAAGCGUAUAAGGAUAGUUUGUUCAAAAUAAUUAAAUAAUCUCUAGUAUGAUCCUUCGUUUUGGUAACCAUAUUGAUUUCUUCUUGUCGAAUUGAUAUCUUAAAGGUAGGUUCCAAAUAAUCACUGCUCGUUUUGUUCAGGAAUCUAAUUUCACUGUUCAUUUAUCGCCCAUCUCAGAUUAUCGAAGAAAACGUAUUUGUACUAAUAAUGCCUAAACUCGGACAAUGGUAUGAAUCAUGAGAAACGUAAGAAACAUGUUUCUUUUUAUCUAAGUAUUUUCUUAUAGAUUGUCUAACGAUAUUACAAGGAUAGAUAUUCUCAAUAAUGCUACAUGAUCGUAAUAGAUAGUAGCAUGAAUAUUCGAAAGUGUGCGCAUGUGCUUCAAUGGGGCAGUUCCUGGAUAUGUAACUACACGUGUAAUAUUCGAUGCGGCUAUCUCAGUUUUCCUUUUAAUGCCCUUGAGUGACUGUAUGAGUUUCGAUGCGAUCAAGUGCUUGAUGGAGGAAGAACUUAACGUGUUAAUAAUUGCUAUGUACUAAUGAUUGCUGUAUCAUAAGAGAAAAUUGCAGACAUUUUAAAGGAAGCAUAUGACAGUAUCAUGGGAGGAGACUUUGGUGUGAACAAAACAUUAAAAAGGAUUCGCAAAAAAAUAUUAUUAAAUUGGUUAUAAAUAGAAAGGUAGAAAAUUAAUGUUUAAAUGCGAGAGAAUGUUUUACAACAAUGAUUUGUACAUGAGGAGAAUUUCAUCUAUUAUGCGAUUUUUGAGAUAUUCCAUGGCAGCAUCCCACAAUCCAAAAUGAAAUAGUUGUAAUGGAAGGAAGUGCCAAUAUAUGCCCUCAUUUGUAAACUUGUGCUACAUUAGUACUCUUGUGUUGCUUAUGUUGCUAUCAAUUAAGUUCUUUUGGAUUGACUGUUGCCAUUAUCUGAUUUACAGCACUUAUGAUAUUAGUCACAUUAUCUAACUAUAGGUCGGAGUAUUAUCCUCUACAGGCAAUGAAUCUUUUUAAAGUGAUGAAAAAGCAUCUGUAGUUACGUCACUCCAUGUAUACUGCCUUUAUGAUAAAACGUACGAAGAUAGCGAUGUGUAAUUUGACGUGAUUGCGAUUUCGACAUUAUUUUUCUUUCACAAAUAUCAAACUGCUUUAAACUAUUUCUACAUCGAUGAAAGGACGUGCUUUUCAUAUAUGAUCAACAGGCAUGUUUAUGAUGUACUCAGGGGUAAUAGGAUUUGCUUGAUAGCAAGUAAUGCAUUUAUUUAAAAUUUGUUUUAUGGCGACCAUUAACUAGCCAAAAUGUAUCAUGGACAGCAUUAAGUGUAGCUUGAGUAGCAAUAGUUAUUACCGUAAUCUACUUUCUCAUGACUCUCACGUAUGUUGAGCUUGGAAACAUAAAAUCUUCUUGAUAUUAAUGUAGGAUAUUUUUAAUUGUAAGCCAAGUUAGAUUUAUAUAGCAGGAUGUCUAUUCUCAGUGUACUCUGAUCGUCAAUAAAUAGAUUUAGUGCUGUGAUGCCUACUUGUAGAUUUUUAUCUGUAGAUAAGGUUGUGAUUACGUCCGAAAAAGAUUCCCUAUGGACUAUUUUUAUUAUUGAUGAUAAGACUCCGUUUAAUUACCCGGUUGUUAGUUCAUGUUUCAAUUUUUCACCACAUCGAUUUUGAGUGUGUGAAUAAAGCGUAGUAGAGGUAGUUUAUAUCAGUAAGUAUACCAAACAGUAUGAAUUUCUAAUGGUAUUUUAAGAUAAUUACAAUUGCCAAAGACUGCAUGAUUAGUUUAUCUCUGGCCAAGACUAGCAUUAACAAUUCGGAGGUUCAAUCGAACAAUUUUGAAUAAAAUUAUUCUUUUUGUCACUGUCUUGUUACAUCCUGCAUAAAGUUAUUUUUCUUCACUUACGUUUGAUAUUUUUCUGGCUAACAAUUAGGAAUGUUUAACCCACCACUUUAAUUAACCCAUCCCAGAAAUGAGGACCCAUUUAGAACAGGAAAAAAGGGAUGUCUUUUAGCAUUUUCAAACUCUCCCUAUUUGCGGUAUUAUCAAUUCUCUAUAAUUUGUAGUCCCUAACACGCUUAAGAUACUCAUGCGCCCCUACUAUCUUCGAAGACAUAAACAAUUUGAACUCCAAUAUCUUGUUUUAUAAACAUGCACUUUAAUAAAUUCUUUGAAUUUUAACGUUGGGCAAAUUUCACUUCGUGAUACAAUAGACUUCUUGUUAAAAUACGAACUAAUCAGAAUCGUAAUUCCUAUUAUACAGUAGGAAGCAAAGCUUUUUAUCCUCGGUAAUUCUGUAAACGAUGAAUUAAGUGCAUCUAAAGAGGGGAAGUGAAAAGGAUAUAAUCAGAGAAAAUUUGAAAAGGCAGUCACUAAAGUUUGUAUUCUAUAUUUGCUAAAGCCGGUAAUUAAGUAAUAAGUCCAUAAUCGAAUUGAAGCCAUCAACGAGCCUAAGCCAAAGCCAUGAUAUUUACUAAAGAAACUAAGAAUAUAGAUAAAAACAAAGAAUAAUGGAGCCCAUAAAAAUUUUCGGACGUAACAUAAUAAAUAAAAUUAUAAUUAAAUACUUACGAAUAUACUUAGAGAAAUUUACAUUAUUAAUCUAAUCUAGUUAAUCCAUUAAAGAUUAAUAUAUAAAAAAUACAUCUAUCAAACACUUCUAAAUGCAUAGAAUGCACAAAGGAAACCCUAUACAUUAAUGUUGAAAAAAUAUAAAUUAUUUAUAUACAACAAAAAAUUUAUAUAUUAUAUAAUAAUUAGACCAACGCUCAUAUACUACUUCGAUAUGGUAGUGUGUUGAAAGCAAACCUUAAAGAAAAUUCAGAAAAGUGUUAGUGUUUAUUGUUCUGUAAAAUCAAUCACAAAUUAUCUAUUGUAGUAAGUUUAUGAUUAGCUUUUAAAUAUGUAUUCUGUGUUCGGCGAAACUGUAUUAAUUAAUUAAUUAAUAUUGUUAAUUAUUUAAUAAGUCCGUAUUCUGCAUUCUGUAAAGUGGCUAACAUUUAAUAAUUCCGUAUUUUGUAUUCUGCAACUAAGUAAUGAGUACUUUACACUUUGUAAGAUCGACAAUCAGUAUAUUACGCAUUUUAUAAAAAUGCUAAUAAAUUUAUCGAAAAAACAUAUCCAAAAAUUGGUGAGUCUUCAAGCAAUUGAACAAUCUGUAUUUUUUUACAAGCCUUUAUUUUUUUUACAGAAAGUCUAUUGAGACGAGAAGCUAUUCUUAUACACCACUUGUAAGAAAGAUAAUCAACUUGAAAUCUUUAUUCUAAAACUAUCUAUUAUCUCAAACCAAUUAAUCUAUCAAAUAUUCUUCUAUUUUAUCCUAUCAAUCAUGGGGCCACCUUAAAAAAAUUGUUAUUAAGAAUAUAUUUUAUUUGAUUCAAAAAUUAUAUUAAAAAAGUUUAUUUUUUAUAGUUGUCGAAUGAGAGGCUCUUCUUCUGUUCUACGUAUUCCUGUACCAGAUGAAUUACAUAAUUCUUUGAAUACUAGAACGCUACCAAUAUGGGCAAAUGUAAAUACUAGAAAUCAUUGCAGCAUUCUUGUGCACAAGAUUAGAUGCAUCUACCUUCAGGAUUAUAGUCUUCUCAAAUUGGUUAAAAUUUAGGAAUCGGCGAUCGGAUGCUUUAAACAUUAUAUAAUACGUGUCCUAAGGAAGGAGUUAUCUACUCUUGAGGAUCAUUUGUCACUGAAAUAGAAGCUAUCUUCAAUUCCUGUCAUCUUAAGCCAAUUUCAUUCGAUUCCCAUGAUCUUAAACUCCUGGAUAUUAUUUAAUUGCUGAUUUGUUAAUGAACUUAUCUGACUACAAUUUUUGGGUUAUGCCAUACUAGGUAGACUGUUAUACAGUAUCUGGUAGCAUAUUCAAAAGAUCAAACAGGACUUUUGAAGAAGGUGAUAUAAGAAACGUAUAAACGAGAUCAACAUGCACCACAAAUAUCCAAGAAGCACGCAAAUAUUCAAUAAAUACGAUCAUUGAAAGAAACAAUACAUUGGGCAUUGCAAAUCCACCUGGAACAUGAUGAUGUCAAGCACAUCGUAACAUUAUAAACUACAUUUGGCAUAAUUAACUGCGAUGUCACUAAAUUCGUACCAUUAUCAAUCGAUAAGGACGAUAAAAGUAAUACAAAAUGAUAUUCCUUAAUUUGUUAAGAAAAUAGUGAUAUAAUUUUUAAUAGAAUAACAUGGAUGGAUAAAUAAUAUGCAAUGUAUAAUUAAUAUAUGUUAAAUUAUAAGCAUGGUAUGAAGCUGUGUAUAUUUAUGGUAUAUAGUAUUCAUAUCAUAACAUAUCAAUGGAGGGGGGGGGGGGAUUAUGUAUUUUUUCAUAUACUCUUUCAUAAAACUCCUCUUUUCCCUUUCCUUAAUUUUUUACGGUUAAGAAAUCCUUAGAUACUUCGCGUAAUUAGAGUUGCAUUUCGCACAUCGAAAGAUAAAGUUGAAUAAAAGGUUGACCAUUGCGAGUUUUAUAAUAUAUAAAGAUCAUUCAAGUCAUUUACGUAAUUACGCGAAUAUAACUGUAUCUUAAUUUACUCACCGUUUGUUAUAUUAUUAAAUAAAAUUUUAUAAACAUGCACUAUUGCAAAAUUAAUUUUACAGCAUUAAUUUGGUGUAAGACAAUUGGCAAACCAUACUGAAUGGAUUUUGAUUCGUCCAAUCGGAUAUAGCAAGAUUAUUGUUAGUACCACAGAACCAAUUGUAGCUUAUAUAUAUUUCGUUUUAUGGUAUCAUUGUUCUACUAAUAGUAUUAUUGUUCUACUAGA